UACAAAAAGUUCUUGUGUUUUGUGAGACCCAAAAAGUAAAGUCAAGAGGGAUGGCAAGAAGAUGGUCCUUUUACAUGGGGCACUUGUGGUGAUCAUAGCCCUCGAAUUCAAUUAUGUGGGCUUACUCACGCUGUUCAAAGAAGCCACACUGCAAGGGAUGAACAACCAUGUUUUUGUUGCCUAUUCUUAUGCUGUUUCUACCACUACUUUUUCCUAUCACUUUUCUCAACUGAAGAUCAAGAGUGGUUCCUCCACUUAGUUUCUCCAUAAUAUCCAAAAUGAUUCUUCUUGGGGUGAUAGGAACUUUAUCUCAGAUAAUGGGAUAUGUUGGCAUUGGCUACAGUUCUCCAACACUUUCUUCAUCAAUUGCCAAUCUGGGGCCUGCUUUCGCUUUCAUGCUUGCAGUCAUUUUCAGGUUAACUUUUUUCUACUCGAGUAUAUCAUAUUAUGUGCAACAAAUCUAAAAAAACAUAUUAAAACAUAUGCUACAUACUUCUCUAGCAGGCAAUGAUAAACUAAAACAAGCACACUUGAUAGUGCUCAAAAGAGGCAUGAAAAACUUAGAACUCCACCACUUUAUUCAAUAUUUUCAUAUUAAUGCCAUGUGCCAAUGAGUCAAGGUUUCAAUUUGGUUGGGAGUUACAAAAACUGAUAAAGGAAAAGUUAACUAAGUAUGAAUCAAGAUGCUUAUUAGUUAUUACUAUUCACUAUCAAUAUUAGAGUUCAUGUAUAUUAUAUUCUAGAAGUUGCAACUAGGCAAUUGUUUGUUUCCAAUUCUUCCAUAUAUAGUAAUUAAGUAUAAGUAAUGCGGUACUAGAUACUAGAUUUUAAACUACUGGUAUCAUAGAGUGCUUAGAUAUUAACCACCAUGAAUAAAUAUCUCAAUCUAUCCACUUAUUUUGUUUUCUCUUAUCCUCUAUAAGGAUGGAAUAAAUAGCUACAAAAAGUAGUAGUCAAGCUGAGGUAAUGGGAAGCAUAAUAUCACUAACAGGUGCAUUAAUUGUAUUGACUUUGUACAAAGGUCCAUCAAUCAUCAAAGGCAAGGCUCAUUCCCAUCUUUCCUUAUCAGUUCAGCAACCAAUUAGCUUUCUUAGAUAUGAGAUGCAAAUUGGGCCACUGCAGGCAUUCUGCUGACAGCUGAAUAUUUACUAAUUUCAUAAUUUUUCAUCUUACAGGUGGAUAUACUAAAAGUGUUCCCGGAUGAAGUAACACUGAUCUUCUUUUGCACUAGGACUGCCACUGUCAUAUAUACACUUGUAGCUUUAUUUGUGGUGCCAAACGCAAGUGCUUGGAAAAUAGGAUUAGAGAUUUCAUUAGUCUUCAUUGUUUGGUCUGUAAGAAAUACCAUUCUAACUUUCCAACUACUACUUCAUUUUGGCAAAAACAAGUACAUUUUUAAAGCAAGUAAAGUUUAUUGACGACAUUGUUUUUAGGGAACAUUUCAAGAAGUUAUGGGCAAUAUAGUUUCCACCUGCGUACUACGCUUAAAGGACCCUGUCUAUGUAACAUCAUUCACGCCAUUCACUGUUGUUAUUGUUGUUGCCAUGGGUAUUAUGUUCCUUGGUGAUACUUUUCACCUAGGAAGG